GGGGUGUAAUAAAGUGUAGGGAUGAUGGCCAUGAAACAAGAUGGGCCAUCGUACAUGAGGCCCAACAUCAGUGCAGCACGUGAAUUUAACAUUGGAUCACAACUCAAUCAACUAAACACAUGUGGAAAUAAGAACAAAAUAAAUUUAAAAAGAAAAAGAAUGUGCUAGAGUCAACAAAAGUUGAGUUAAAAGACUCAGGUGAUAAGCCACCGUGGGCCACCACGCUAGAGGUAGCCUCCGGCAACGGUGGCAAUCAAAAAUAAAAAUUGAAACCACCAUUAACUUCGUCUCGUCCUCCUGAUCAAGAAUCUGCUAUCAAUUUUACCAAAUUUCACACCCAAAGCCCUAACUGAAUCUCACACCUCAAGAACCCUAAUCCAAAUACUCAUAAAUUAAAUGGUAAAUACAAGGAUUCAAAGCCCCUGAGGUUGGGGCUUUGAAUCUCCUCCAUAAACCUCGCAUGUCGGUAUCAAGAUUGAAGUGAAACACGAAGGGUUCAAGUUAUUACCGUGUCAGAGAAGACUAUUGCAUUGGAUCUCAGGUUUAAUGCCAUCAUCAGAGAGUUGAAAGCUAUUAGCAACAACUUCAAAAACCAUUAUUGUCGUAAUCAACACUUCAUUAAGACUCUUUUGCAGGAUUAACAACUUUAUACAUGCAUGCACAUAGAUCUACAGGGUUGAUUGAAGGUGUAGGAGAAGUAAGGGUGGGUGGUCAAGGGGAUGAGCUUGGGUUUAUGAGAGUUGGAUGUUGGUCCGAGGUUAGUGGGGUGAAGUGGAUGAGUCGGUUGGCUUGGAUGUUGGUCUUAGGUUAGUGGGUGGGGGCCGGGGUGGUAGAUGAGUCGGUCGACUCAGGUUUGGGUUGGGUUGAGUUUGAGUUAAGAAGUGUUUUAUGAUGUAGGCGAAUAAGUCAUUAUCUACGAAGGUGCGUGUAAUAGGUUGUGGAGUAUGCAUCUUUGCAUUUGGGAAAUGAGGUUUUGCCAAAUAUAACAUGACGAAAAAUGAUAAUUUAAUUCAAAGAUAAAUCUAGACAUGUAUAACCUCUAUGAUUUGACGAGUACCCAAGAAAGACGCAUGGUGUAGAGCAAGGUUGGAGUUUAUGUAUUAUAGUGGAUGGAAAAGGGGAUAGCAUAAACACCCAAGUACACAUAAUUGGGAAUAAUAGUUGUAUUUUUAUACAACAUUUUAAGAGAUGACUCAAAAUUGAUUAUUUUUAUAAGUAAAAUAUUCAAAAUAUA